rnacentral:rRNA from 1 species
GACGAACGCUGGCGGCGUGCCUAAUACAUGCAAGUAGAACGCUGAAGAGAGGAGCUUGCUCUUCUUGGAUGAGUUGCGAACGGGUGAGUAACGCGUAGGUAACCUGCCUUGUAGCGGGGGAUAACUAUUGGAAACGAUAGCUAAUACCGCAUAACAAUGGAUGACACAUGUCAUUUAUUUGAAAGGGGCAAUUGCUCCACUACAAGAUGGACCUGCGUUGUAUUAGCUAGUAGGUGAGGUAAUGGCUCACCUAGGCGACGAUACAUAGCCGACCUGAGAGGGUGAUCGGCCACACUGGGACUGAGACACGGCCCAGACUCCUACGGGAGGCAGCAGUAGGGAAUCUUCGGCAAUAGGGGCAACCCUGACCGAGCAACGCCGCGUGAGUGAAGAAGGUUUUCGGAUCGUAAAGCUCUGUUGUAAGUCAAGAACGGGUGUGAGAGUGGAAAGUUCACACUGUGGCGGUAGCUUACCAGAAAGGGACGGCUAACUACGUG